UCAAUCAAAUCUUCAUAAUAGAUUUCUCUAAGAGAAAACCCAGAUCCAUAUUGCUGCUUUGUGAGCAUUGCAUUCACUGUAAUUAACACAACAGCAAAGACAGGUGGGUAUUAAAAUGAAAUAACUAUUUAAUAGCACAAAAUAAACAGCAGACACCUAUUGAUUGUUUUUUGUAAUCACAAUUAAGGAGACACUUGCAGAACAUUGCAUACCAAGUAACUGCAACUUUGUGUUGUUAAAUUAAGAAGCAAAACUGAUCUGCUAAUGAGCAGAUUGCAUAAUGUAAUUAUCCAUCAAAUCAGACAGUCCACUUGCCAGUGUCUCCAAAUCCAAUUGCUGGACAGCCUCAAACUGACUAGCAAUCAGUUACCACAACAGGCAACAAGAUGUGGAGUGCUGAUAUUUGGUAUUCUGAGCAGUAACAAGUCUGUUAACAGGCACAGACACUGGGAUAACACACUAAUCAUAGCAUCUGUCCCCCCCUACAGAACAUGGGAACAUUGUUUAAAGUAACAAUACACUACAGACACUACACCUCUGUCAGUCUUGCCACAGCUUGCAAAGGUAUGUACAUUGCAACAUUUCAGUCAGACCUUUAAGCACAAAGUGAGGACCUAACAAACAAGGCCAAAGAGCUGCAUGGAGAGCAGGCUUUAUGAUGAUUUGAUCCCCAAAAUACCACCAACAUGUGACAACACCACAGCUACUGUUAGUGUAUUUUAUGUUCCUAAACCUGAACAGUUCUGUGUUUGCAGGUAUCCACCAAGCUUAAGUGUCCUUGAGCUCUGAGGGCUGCAGAAUGCUGUUCUGUAGCUUAACCUGACCUCUGUACACCCCACGAUGCCAUGCAAGGAAAAAAAAACUGUGGGACAAAAAGAGUAUCAGUGUGUCAUCAUAGCAGCGUUUUGUCAAUUACCGGCCUUCAUUAUCAACAGGACUGCUCUUCAGUAGCACUGCUCCUUCUGCACAUUUAUAUACAGUGACACUCACCUAAAACCAAGACAGGCAAUAAUGAACACAUACUAAAACAGUAUCUGUGGAGAGAUUCGGAUCAAUGCUUUCUCGAUGCAAGAGGCUGAACCUCCAGCUCGUCUUGUGUUCUAGCACAUCGCGGAGGUGGCUAAAACGUAUAGGUCCAUUCUCGGACAGGAUCCUUCUUUUCGAGCUUUUCGUCCUCAUCACUCAGCACAAAAAUGCCAAAUAUCAGACCGAACUGUUAGCACAACUUAAUAUGUACGUGGUUUUUAUUUCGACGAUACACUAGUGGUCUCCCUAUACCCCCCAGUUCCACCACGAAUGUAAAAAGGCGCAUCGCCUGUAACACAGUGCUGUAGGACUCCAGUGUGACCGACUCCAGCUGUCUGGGCCUCCCUCCCUCCCUCCCUCCAGUACCGUGGACCCUCCACACUAAUACUCAAGUACCAUUACUAUGGAACCAGAAGAGGAAAGAAGGGAGGUGACCCGGAGAUUUUGGGAACAGCAGCAAAAUUGCCCAUAACAUGAACAUAUUCCAGCAGAGAAGAAAAAGAACAGCUAUUCGAAGAAAGCAUGGGAAAAGAUGCUGCAGCCUUUUGGACCGAGUCCUACCAGUGUUGCACACCCACAGUUUCUGGUUUGGGAAAGCUCUAAAGGACAAAGUUCAAAGAUUUUUCGAGCAGUUAUUGUCUUGUUCACCACAAAUUCAUUUAUUUCAUUUUUGUAUUUCUGUAUUUCUGGAAGAACAACUACUGCUGUUGCAUUAAUCAGAAUUAAUUAAU